rnacentral:rRNA from 1 species
AUGGCUCAGGAUGAACGCUGGCGGCGUGCCUAAUACAUGCAAGUCGAACGAAGCACCUCGGUGCUUAGUGGCGAACGGGUGAGUAACACGUGGGUAACCUGACCCUCAAGACGAGGAUAACCGUUGGAAACGAUGGCUAAGACUGGAUGGGAAUACGGGAGGCAUCUUCUGUAUUUUAAAAGACCUGGCAACAGGUAUGCUUGAGGAGGGGCCUGCGGCGCAUUAGUUAGUUGGUGAGGUGAUGGCUCACCAAGACGAUGAUGCGUAGCCGGACUGAGAGGUUGAACGGCCACAUUGGGACUGAGAGACGGCCCAAACUCCUACGGGAGGCAGCAGUAGGGAAUUUUCGGCAAUGGGGGAAACCCUGAACCCGAGCAACGCCGCGUGAACGACGAAGUACUUCGGUAUGUAAAGUUCUUUUAAGAGGGAAGAAUGGCCCGUGGAAAAGCGGGCGUGACGGUACCUUUUGAAUAAGCCCCGGCUAACUAUGUGCCAGCCGCUGC